rnacentral:rRNA from 1 species
UACGGAGGGUGCAAGCGUUAUCCGGAUUCACUGGGCUUAAAGGGCGCGUAGGCGGGCCGUCUAGUCCGUGGUGAAAUCCUCCGGCUCAACCGGAGAAGUGCCUCGGAUACUGGCGGCCUCGAGGGGGGUAGGGGCGUGCGGAACUUCCGGUGGAGCGGUGAAAUGCGUAGAUAUCGGAAGGAACACCGGUGGCGAAAGCGGCGCGCUGGACCCCAUCUGACGCUGAGGCGCGAAAGCCAGGGGAGCAAACGGG